CCGAGUUUACAACUCCCAAACCCCUGUGAACAUACCACUUGUUGCCUCGGCGGAUCAGCCCGCUCCCGGUAAAACGGGACGGCCCGCCAGAGGACCCCUAAACUCUGUCUCUAUAUGUAACUUCUGAGUAAAACCAUAAAUAAAUCA
rnacentral:misc_RNA from 1 species